rnacentral:rRNA from 1 species
CCUACGGGUGGCAGCAGUGAGGGAUAUUGGUCAAUGGGGGAAACCCUGAACCAGCCACGCCGCGUGCGGGAAGACGGUUUUCGGAUUUUAAACCUCUGUCCUCUGUGAAGAUACUGACGGUAGCAGAGGAGGACGCUCCGGCUAACUACGUGCCAGCAGCCGGGGUAAUCCGUAGGGAGCACGCGUUGUCCGGAUGUACUUGGUGUAAAGGGUGCGUAGGCGGCCUUGCAAGUCAGAAGUGAAAUCCAUGGGCUUAACCCGUGAACUGCUUUUGAAACUGUAGGGCUUGAGUUAAGUAGAGGCAGGCGGAAUUCCCGGUGUAGCGGUGAAAUGCGUAGAGAUCGGGAGGAACACCAGUUGCGAAGGCGGCCUGCUGGGCUUUAACUGACGCUGAAGCACGAAAGCGUGGGUAGCAAACAGGAUUAGAUACCCUAGUAGUC